AUAAGAAUUGAUACAUUAAAAUGUAUAUACAAAAUGGAGAAUGUGUUUUUUUGAUUUUUUUUU
rnacentral:sRNA from 1 species